CCCUCCCAUCCUGCCCCAGGCUCAGUGCUCAGCACAGUGGGGGUCUCUGUAAUGCCUGCUCCCUAGACCUAAGUGUGCCAUCCAUCAACCGAGAGAGGUGCUCCAGAGGACUGGCGCGAUGGCGAUGCCUGGGUCUGGGGCCAAGGGACGUGAAGGCAGGAGGACCCUGUCGGACAGACACACCUGGCUGUGACUUCAGCAUGCCCUUUUCUGAUUAAAGGUGGUGCUUUCAGGGAACUUUCCAGGCAUGUCGUAAUUGAUGGGAUGCUAGUAGCAUACAGCAAGACUGAAUACAGCUGAGCUGGGUCGGUGGGAAUACAGGAGAGCCCAGAAGCCCCUUUUCCCUAUGUUAAUUGGACCCUGUAAGGCUGCCGCCUGCCUGCAGCCUCCAGACGGGCUCAGCAUGCUGUCCGCUGGGCAGCAGGAGGUGGCUCAUUAAACACGGUGGUGACGGGCCCAGUGAUUCAUCACUCCAGUCGAGUGAUGUCAGGAAGAGGACAGUUUUCAGCUUCCCUACACUCAACAAGCAACACAGAACUGGGAAUUUGAAGAUGGCCUACCUUCAGGGAGCCUGCACCAUUCUGCCUGCCUCUGGGACUGGGCUGGACAUAUUUCCCAUGGUGUCCCUUUCUAGGAGUGUCUGAUUGGCAUCCCCAAUGCAGGAUUUCUGCCACCAUUUGCAGGAUUGCCGGGUAGAUGGGAACGGGCAGGGAGGGCAGGGGCUGUCACCUUCUAAGGACUGUCAGAGAGGGAGUUGGCUCAGAGGACAUUGCUCCAGGUCACACGAGCUGGUUGGCCGCUGGUGGUUCUGAUCCUGCAGUGGGGGGUACAGGAGAUUUGAAUCAAGUUUGAGCUGAAAAGUGGGAUCUGUAAAUUACUUUGGCUUAAAAUUCUGGGUAAGGGAUAAGGAGCCACAUUUUCCCUUUUUGCUUCCAAUCAGUUGAAAAAAGGCUCAAGAAGGAAAAAUCAAAUCUAACUCUUUGCAUGGAUAUUACCCCAAGGCUUGAAAGGUUCCCAGGUGUUCAUAGCCUGCCCCCAGGCCAGCCUCUCCUGGUGCCUGUCAUCCCUGGGGGCAGGGGGUGGGGGGGGCGAUGUGGCCAGAGAAGGCGUCCAUGUGCUGAAAGCCAGCUGGGAGGG